GGGCCGGCUCUAGCCCAAGUGAAAUAAAGCCACUAUUUGGGUCUCAAAUUUUAUAGGUUUGACUUUAGGUUAGACCGAACUUAUUCAUUUGAAAUUGAUCGACGUUUGCAGUUUGAUUAAGAAAUCCAUCCAUUGCAUAACGCAAUCUACAAAGGAGAAGCAUAGGGCCAUCGAAAAUCCAUUGUCCAGUCUAACAAAUAGAACUUCUGAUUCCAAAUUGUGAAGAACAUAAAUGCUUUAGCUGUGAGAAGGACACACAUGAGCAGGAGAUACUACAAAUUGCCACUUGUGUGGAUCAAAUUACAAAAGACUGGCUUGAAUGUUGAAGUAGAUAGAAUAUUGGAGAUUGCUUGUGUCAUUACUGAUGGGAAAUUGAGGAAACUGGUAGAGGCAAUCUGUUAAUCUUACAGGAACUAAAAGCUUGGCUCUUUUUCUGCUUAGGGUCCUGAUUUGGUAAUCCAUCAAACAAAAGAUUUUCUGGAAGAAGUUGGAGAAUGGUGCCAAGAUCGUCAUGCGUGUAAUGUUUUGGCCUGUAGAUGAUAAAAAGGCUCCUAAAAAGAAGCGGCAUGGAGCCGUACUGGAUGAGAUCAAAGAAAGCAUAACCGAGCUCAAAUAUUACAAGGAACAUGCAUUCAGAUCACCAAAGUCUAAGAGGUAAUGUCGAACGUCGACACCAUGAAUUAGUUUUUAUUUCGAGUUAUACAAGUAUACACCCAAUAAACUUGUCUAUUAUAAUAAUAUUGGUUCUUUUUAUUUGAACUGAACGAUAGAAUUUUCCACAUGGUUCAUCAUGGUGUUGAAAACAGGUCAUGUUAUGGUUUUGUGCACCUCUAUCCACAUGAAUUGAAAUGUAUUAAAAAUCUACAAUAUAAUGAGUCUUAUUCCUUAAAUAGUUAAAUAAUGUGGGACAAAAUGUAAGUUACCUAUGUUUUCAUUUUGCUAGUUGGGCCAGAUGAUCCCAUCUCUUGCCACUUGGGCCUUGGAAUGUAUUUCAUUUGGGCU